ANAGUUUGAUGAUGGCUCAGAAUGAACGCUGGCGGCGUGCUUAACACAUGCAAGUCGCACGAGAACGCUUCAGCUUGCUGAAGUUAGUAAAGUGGCGCACGGGUGAGUAACGCGUGGGUAAUCUACCCCCGAAUUGGGGAUAACAUUGCGAAAGCGAUGCUAAUACCGAAUGACAUCUUAAAUACUCCGGUGUUUAAGAUCAAAGGUGGCCUCUACAUGUAAGCUACUGUUUGGGGAUGAGCCCGCGUACCAUUAGCUUGUUGGUAGGGUAACGGCCUACCAAGGCUGCGAUGGUUAGCUGGUCUGAGAGGAUGAUCAGCCACACUGGAACUGACACACGGUCCAGACUCCUACGGGAGGCAGCAGUGAGGAAUUUUGCGCAAUGGGGGAAACCCUGACGCAGCAACGCCGCGUGAGUGAUGAAGGCUUUCGGGUCGUAAAGCUCUGUCAAGUGGGAAGAAACCACCUGGUGCUAAUAUCACCAAGUGCUGACGGUACCACUGAAGGAAGCACCGGCUAACUCCGUGCCAGCAGCCGCGGUAAUACGGGGGGUGCAAGCGUUAUUCGGAAUUACUGGGCGUAAAGAGCGCGUAGGCGGUCUCUUAAGUCAGGUGUGAAAGCCCGGGGCUCAACCCCGGAAGUGCACUUGAAACUAAGGGACUUGAGUAUGGGAGGGGGAAGUGGAAUUCCUGGUGUAGCGGUGAAAUGCGUGGAUAUCAGGAGGAACACCGGUGGCGAAGGCGACUUCCUGGACCAAUACUGACGCUGAGGCGCGAAGGCGUGGGGAGCAAAC
rnacentral:rRNA from 1 species